rnacentral:rRNA from 1 species
GAUCACCGCUAUUGGAAUCCGCUUAAGACAUGCGAGUCGAGAGGGUUUAGACCCUCGGCAUACUGCUCAGUAACACACGGAUAAUCUACCCUAAGGUGGGGCAUAACCUCGGGAAACUGAGGAUAAUACCCCAUAGAUCAUGGAUGCUGGAAUGCUCCAUGGUCCAAAGUUCCGGCGCCUUAGGAUGAGUCUGCGGCCUAUCAGGUUGUAGUGGGUGUAACGGACCCACUAGCCUACGACGGGUACGGGCGUUGGGAGACGUCGCCCGGAGUUGGAUUCUGAGACACGAAUCCAGGCCCUACGGGGCGCAGCAGUCGCGAAAACUUGUCAAUGAGGGAAACCUCGAACAGGGGAGUCCAAGUGCAUGCGUUUUACGUAUGCUGUUCAGUUGUCUAAAAAACAGCCCGAAGUAAGGGCUGGGUAAGACAGGUGCCAGCCGCCGCGGUAAUACCUGCAGCCCAAGUGGUGACCAUUAUUAUUGAGCCUAAAGCGUCCGUAGCCGGUUUGGUAAAUCCUCGGGUAAAUCGAGCAGCUUAACUGUUCGAACACCGGGGAGACUGCCAGACUUGGGACCGGGAGAGGUCAGAGGUACUUCAGGGGUAGGGGCUAAAUCCUGUAAUCCUUGAAGGACCACCAGUGGCGAAGGCGUCUGACUAGAACGGAUCCGACGGUAAGGGACGAAACCCUGGGGCGCAAACCGGAUUAGAUACCCGGGUAGUCCAGGGCGUAAACGCUGCAGGCUUGGUGUUGGGGACCCUACGGGGGUGCUCAGUGCCGGAGUGAAGAUGUUAAGCCUGCCGCUUGGGGAGUACGUCCGCAAGGAUGAAACUUAAAGGAAUUGGCGGG